GCGAGUGUAAAAUGUUCUCACUUGAUCUGUCAUAUGAAAGUAAGGUCUAUAAUUACUCUCACAGAACUUUAGACUUACACAAAGUAUUCAUGGCUCAAUAGUGUAGACCUCCAUAACAGAUAGAUUUUUUCUACAUAAUUUGAAACGUUUAAGUUCCUCAAACCUGCAAGUUAAAAUUGCAAAAUUUGUCAAAUUUUGUGGGUUGAAGAUGAAAAUCUAUCAAACCUAUAGGUUGAAGUCAAGAAUCUACCAAAUAUAUAAGGUGAAGUUUUCCAAAACGCCAAGUUCGCUAGUUGAAGUCUUCGAAUCCUGUAAGUAUGAAUUUUUCAAAUGAAGUUGUCCAAUACGUCAAUCUGCAAGUUGAAAUUGCCAAAUUUACCGAGUCUAUAGAAUUAUCAAAUGUAUCAAGUCUGGAAGUUGAAGUCGUCAAAUUUGGCAUGUUUGCACGUUUGACGUUGUCAAAUCUAUCAAGUUUGCAAGUUGAGAUUGUCAAAAGCUCCAUGUUUUCAAAAUUGAGGCUUUUAAAUUUGACACCUUAAGGUGAACAAAAUUUGUCCCUUUGAACCUUAAACUGGACCUUUCACGGAGUUAGCCUUAUAAUGAUCUCUAAAUUUUCAUGACUUAAUGUGGACAAGCUGGCCUUUUUAUGGGUGUAUCUUAAAAAAUCUCUAAAUUUGCAUGCCUAAAGGUGAACAAAAUUUGUCCCUUUGCACCUUAAGCUAAGAUUUUUUAAGGAUAUUUCAUAUAAAGAAGCCAAGUUGAAGCGGAAUUGGUUAAGAUAUCAGAGGCAAAGUUAAAUUCUCGCACCUUAAGCUGACUCUUACAUAGUCACCAAACUUGAAGCCGAA
rnacentral:lncRNA from 1 species